rnacentral:rRNA from 1 species
AAAAGGGGAGCAAUCCUCUGAGUAAAGCGGCGCACGGGUGAGUAACACGUGGGUAAUCUGCCCUGGAGUGGGGAAUAACACCGGGAAACCGGUGCUAAUACCGCAUACGAUCACGAUUUCUGCGGAUGACGUGAUGAAAGGAGCAAUUCGCUCUAGGAGGAGCCCGCGGCUGAUUAGCUAGUUGGUGAGGUAAUGGCUCACCAAGGCUACGAUCAGUAUCCGGUCUGAGAGGACGGUCGGACACACUGGAACUGAGACACGGUCCAGACUCCUACGGGAGGCAGCAGUGGGGAAUUUUUCGCAAUGGGGGCAACCCUGACGAAGCAACGCCGCGUGGAUGAUGAAGUAUCUCGGUACGUAAAAUCCUUUCGACAGGGAAGAAACCCGCAAGGGUUGACGGUACCUGUAGAAGAAGCCCCGGCUAACUCCGUGCCAGCAGCCGCGGUAAUACGGGGGGGGCAAGCGUUGUUCGGAAUUACUGGGCGUAAAGGGCGCGUAGGCGGUUUGUUAAGUUGGAUGUGAAAACUCUGGGCUUAACCCAGAGCCUGCAUCCAAAACUAGCAGACUAGAGUUCUGGAGGGGAUAGCGGAAUUCCUGGUGUAGCGGUGAAAUGCGUAGAUAUCAGGAGGAACACCGGUGGCGAAGGCGGCUAUCUGGACAGAGUCUGACGCUGAGGCGCGAAAGCUAGGGGAGCAAACAGGAUUAGAUACCCUGGUAGUCCUAGCCCUAAACGAUGGAUACUUGCUGUGACUGGGAUUGAAUCCAGUCGUGGCGAAGCUAACGCAUUAAGUAUCCCGCCUGGGGAGUACGGUCGCAAGGCUGAAACUC